rnacentral:rRNA from 1 species
CCUACGGGUGGCAGCAGUGGGGAAUAUUGCACAAUGGGGGAAACCCUGAUGCAGCGACGCCGCGUGAGUGAAGAAGUAUUUCGGUAUGUAAAGCUCUAUCAGCAGGGAAGAAAAUGACGGUACCUGACUAAGAAGCCCCGGCUAACUACGUGCCAGCAGCCGCGGUAAUACGUAGGGGGCAAGCGUUAUCCGGAUUUACUGGGUGUAAAGGGAGCGUAGACGGCGGAACAAGUCAGAAGUGAAAACCCGGGGCUCAACCCUGGGAGUGCUUUUGAAACUGUUUGGCUGGAGUGCAGGAGAGGUAAGCGGAAUUCCUAGUGUAGCGGUGAAAUGCGUAGAUAUUAGGAGGAACACCAGUGGCGAAGGCGGCUUGCUGGACUGUAACUGACGUUGAGGCUCGAAAGCGUGGGGAGCAAACAGGAUUAGAUACCCGAGUAGUC